CGGAACGGGUGAGUAAUGCGUGACCAACCUGCCCCAUGCUCCAGAAUAGCUCUUGGAAACGGGUGGUAAUGCUGGAUGCUCCAACUUGACGCAUGUCUUGUUGGGAAAGUGUUUAGUGGCAUGGGAUGGGGUCGCGUCCUAUCAGCUUGUAGGCGGGGUAAUGGCCCACCUAGGCUUCGACGGGUAGCCGGCCUGAGAGGGCGGACGGCCACAUUGGGACUGAGAUACGGCCCAGACUCCUACGGGAGGCAGCAGGC
rnacentral:rRNA from 1 species